GCCCUUAUAGCUUAACUGGAAAAGCCUCAGAUUUCUAAUCUGAUGACCUGAGUUCGACUCUCGGUAGGGGUUCAA
rnacentral:tRNA from 1 species